GUAAAUGAAAGACUCCCAUGUAGUCUGGGGAGUCUCCUCCUAGCUGGAAUGUUGUUCACUUGAGCCUUGGAGAAGCAUCAGAGCCUCUGCAUCCUGCCCUGGACCAGACUCAAGUCUAGGAUCAGCCUUCAUGGAUGGUCUCACCUUCCCAUGCUGUGCUCAGGCCCAAGCCACGUGUGAGUCGAGUGAAUGACCAAGGCAGAUGCUAGCAAGCGGGCGCCUCCUUCUCAGCCUGCCUCUAGGAAGAAUGGACACCAGAGUUUGGCUUUUCUGGAAGAAUGGUGGAGGGGACCUCACUUCUCACAGUGGGAACCACACUGUUGUCUGUCCCCUUCCUAAGUGUGAUUCUCACAGAUGGGCUCCUGCACACUCACAUACGUGCGCAUGCACACACACACACACAUACACACAGAGAGACCACAUGCACACAGAGCACUCCGUAUGCAACUCUGUAUUCUUGCCAAAGACUUCCUUUAAACGAGAGCACUUUUACCCACUGCUCUUUUGUGAAUGAUCUGUUUUGUUGUUGUUUAUUGUUGAAUCUCUAUAUCAACAGGGAGAGUGUUGUCCAUUCUUAGACAGGAAUGAAAGAGGGGGAGGGGUGACAGGAGAACAUGGCGGCCAGUGAUGCCCUUAACAAGACCCCUUAGGAACAGCCCAGGUACAAACAGCCUCCGGCCACUCGGAAGAUCUGAGGUUGGAGGUGAGAUGGCAGAGAAGGGCACUGAUGGAGCCAGGAUUGGUGCCUAGGGAAGUCCCCGAUGGCUCUGGGGGUGGGGACAGGUGUGAAGAGCUGGGUUGGAACAGGGUGGACAUGAAGACUGGGAAAAUUAACAGUUGCAUACUGAAGUUGUUACUGUGGACCCCUGGUUACCUUGCCCUGCCAUGUUUUAGGAAAGAAUCCAAAUUUUAGUUUUGAAAGGGGGCAUUUGAGUCUUCUCACCUUACCGAUUCCUAGCAGCUUAGAUAGCCUCAGGCAUGAGUGCCAGGAUUCCUGAUAGGCCCUGGCUUUGGAGAGUCCCUAGGGAUAGCCCCUCUGGGGGUGUAGGGAGGACACUGUGGCUGUGCAUCCCUCUAAUGAGGGGCUUUCAGGAGAGAGAACCCUCCUGCUGCAGGGAAGUGCAGGAGAGACAAGUGAGUGGGCCGCAUCCUCCUGCCUCUGGGUUUUCUUCAUCCUACCUCCCGGGACAUCUGACCCCCUUUUCCCAGCUUCAGAUCUCGGGGAGAUCCAUCUAAGGGAAUCAGCCCUCUCCUGCCUCCAUGGCUUGGGUCCCUGAAGAGCUUGGAACCCAAAGCUAGGGCCCACCCCUGCACUUAGGCCUUGGACGAAGAUCUUGAGACUGGUGUUUCUGUGGUCACUGGUGGACAGGAUGUAUGUGCGUGCGCGUGUGUGUAAGUGUGGGUGUGUGUGCGUGCUCUGCUCAUCUCUAGGAGAUCGGAAGAGCG
rnacentral:lncRNA from 1 species